CUGCCCAGUGAUUAAGUUUAAACGGCCGCGGUAUCCUAACCGUGCAAAGGUAGCAUAAUCAUUUGCCUAUUAAUUGUAGGCUAGAAUGAACGGAUAAACGUAAUAAAUACUGUCUCAACUAUUAUAAUAAAAAUUAACAUUUAUGUGAAGAGUCAUAAAUUAUUUCGAAGGACAAGAAGACCCUAUAGAGCUUUAUUUUAAAUAUGACAAUUUUCAUGUAAAAAUUCGGUUGGGGCGACCAUGGGAAGUUAUAAAACACCCAUUAUCUAAAAGACUGCUUAGUCAAUAUACUGACCCUAUAAAGAUCAUAAAAACAAGCUACCUUAGGGAUAACAGGCUAAUUUUAUUUAAGAGUUCAUAUCUACAAUAGAGUUUGGCACCUCGAUGUUGGCUUAGGGAGUCACCUUAGCGCAAAAGUUAAGAAAAGAUGGUUUGUUCAACCAAUAAACCCU
rnacentral:rRNA from 1 species